rnacentral:rRNA from 1 species
UGAGGAAUAUUGCGCAAUGGGGGAAACCCUGACGCAGCAACGCCGCGUGGGUGAAGAAGGCCUUCGGGUCGUAAAGCCCUUUCGGACGGGACGAACGCUCCGCGGUGACAACCCGCGGAGUCUGACGGUACCGUAAGAAGAAGCACCGGCUAACUCCGUGCCAGCAGCCGCGGUAAUACGGAGGGUGCAAGCGUUGUUCGGAAUUACUGGGCGUAAAGCGCGUGUAGGCGGCCUUGCAAGCCAGACGUGAAAGCCCUCGGCUUAACCGGGGAAGUGCGUCUGGAACUGCUCGGCUCGAGUACGGGAGAGGGAGGCGGAAUUCCCAGUGUAGAGGUGAAAUUCGUAGAUAUUGGGAGGAACACCGGUGGCGAAAGCGGCCUCCUGGACCGAUACUGACGCUGAGACGCGAAAGCGUGGGGAGCAAACAGG